rnacentral:ncRNA from 2 species
AAAUCAUCAAGAGAGACUGAGGGACUGGCCCUAUGACGUUUCAGCAACCUACCUUAGAGGUGUGGUGCUAAUUCCAGAAAGAUGACUU